UGGGUAAAUGAUGACGAGUAGUGGCAUAAGGGUCUUGGGUGAUGAACAUCACAGGUCUGGAAUUCUGGGUUCCGA